rnacentral:rRNA from 1 species
UACGUAGGGUGCAAGCGUUGUCCGGAAUUAUUGGGCGUAAAGAGCUCGUAGGCGGUUUGUCGCGUCUAUCGUGAAAACUGGAGGCUUAACUUUCAGCGUGCGGUGGAUACGGGCAGACUUGAGUUCGGUAGGGGAGACUGGAAUUCCUGGUGUAGCGGUGAAAUGCGCAGAUAUCAGGAGGAACACCGGUGGCGAAGGCGGGAUCUCUGGGCCGAUGACUGACGCUGGAGGAGCGAAAGCGUGGGGAGCGAACAGGA